rfam:Candidatus Azambacteria bacterium RIFCSPLOWO2_02_FTLL_44_14 rifcsplowo2_02_scaffold_933, whole genome shotgun sequence.
GCCGCUAUCGUCUAGCCUGGUCUAGGACAUCUGGUUCUCAUCCAGAAAACUCGGGUUCAAAUCCCGAUAGCGGUA